AGAAAAGAGAGUUUUCCAAAUGCUAUGCAGAAGGAACCGAACAGGCCAUAGUCACGGAGAUGAUAAGAAGUGAGAAAGACAAGUAAAUAAGAGGAGGGCAGAGGAUAUGGCUGAUCUCUGUGAUCACACAGGGUGAGCAUUUCUCGCUGCGGAGCUAGUGAACUUUUCUUCGCUGCCUGAAUGAGCCUGAGCUAUAGUUCAAAAGCUAACGACACCGUUCCCUUGCUUGGCUUCUCCAGCUCUGGCUUUCCUGCUGGGACAAGCACGCCGCUUUCAUGACUCUGCAGAAGUUGUGCCCAUGUUCGUCUCGCCGUGUGAGGAACACGGGGCCUCUGUAGAGAAUGCUGGAAGAUUUUGGAAGAGACUGGGAGCCAGAGUUAAGCCCUAACUGGACAGUUCUUCUCGUUUGAGCCUCGGCGAGGCAGCUCCUCCCAGUACAGGGUCCCCUCUGUGUCACCCUCACUUGCGUGCGGGACAACAGUGACAUCCAGAGUCAGAGCCCGCUGAAGCACCCUGUCCUGACAAGCGGCUAGUCAGCAACACCAGCACCCCUCAGAGCUGGUCACAAAUGCAGCAAGUGGCCCCCACCCCAGCCCCAGGACAUCAGAAUCAGCAUUUCAACAACUGCCCACCAAAAAGUGCGAGAAAGCCUGCCGGUUUCACAGAGAUCUCUACACCAUGUUCGCAUCUCUGCGAAGUCUGUGCUCUGGGGAGAGCACUGAAUUGACCCGUUCCAUCGAUUUUUCUUUAUUUUCUGACCUUCUGCUUUCACUUUGCAAGACUUAAUUCCUACAUAUUUCUUUAGGGCCCGUGAGCGCAGAGGCCAACCCCAGAACUCCCACACUGGCUGUGGACAGAGAAAGGCAGUUACGCCUUUGCUUUCAACCAACCAUGACUUGCACUGAACUUUUUGCCUACUGCUCUGCUUAUGAGAAUAUUGGGAUUGCGGAUGCUAAAAUAGUACAGUAUCCUCUUGACCUUUUCACAAAUUCCACACUAAUGCUGGCGGGAAGGGACCAUUUUGUGGUUCUACUGGGGCCUGCAAGGGGACACAGAAAGUGGCAGCCUCCUCCUUGCACGAUUUUCCCUUUAAGCUCCUGUCUCUUUCAGUCCCACCUUCUCAUUGAAGAGAGGAGGAGGAUGUGGUGAAGAAGCUGUCUUGUACAUGAACAGACAUUUUUCCAAAGAAGACAUCCAAAUGGCCAACAGACACAUGAAAAAGUGCUCAAUAUCACUCAGCAUCAGGGAAAUCCAAAUCAAAACCUCAAUGAGAUACCACCUCACACCAGUCAGAAUGGCUAAAAUUAACAAGUCAGGAAACAACAGAUGUUGGCGGGGAUGCGGAGAAAGGGGAACCCUCCUACCCUGUUGGUGGGAAUGCAAGCUGGUGCAGCCACUCUGGAAAACAGUAUGGAGGUUCCUCAAAAAGUUGAAAAUAGAGCUACCCUACAAUCCAGCAAUUGCACUACUGGGUAUUUACCCCAAAGAUACAAAUGUAGGGAUCUGAAGGGGUACAUGCAUGCAUAUGUUUAUAGCAGCAAUGUCCACAAAAGCCAAAUUAUGGAAAGAGCCAAGAUGUCCAUCGACAGAUGAAUGGAUAAAGAAGAAGUGGUAUAUAUAUACAAUGGAAUAUUAUGCAGCCAUCAAAAGGAAUGAGAU